rnacentral:rRNA from 1 species
GAUGAACGCUAGCGGGAGGCCUAACACAUGCAAGCCGAGCGGUAGAGUUUCUUCGGAAACUUGAGAGCGGCGCACGGGUGCGUAACACGUGUGCAACCUACCUUUAUCUGGGGGAUAGCCUUUCGAAAGGAAGAUUAAUACCCCAUAAUAUAAUGAUCGGCAUCAAUUAUUAUUGAAAACUCCGGUGGAUAGAGAUGGGCACGCGCAAGAUUAGAUAGUUGGUGAGGUAACGGCUCACCAAGUCAAUGAUCUUUAGGGGUCCUGAGAGGGAGAUCCCCCACACUGGUACUGAGACACGGACCAGACUCCUACGGGAGGCAGCAGUGAGGAAUAUUGGACAAUGGGUGAGAGCCUGAUCCAGCCAUCCCGCGUGAAGGAUGACGGUCCUAUGGAUUGUAAACUUCUUUUGUACAGGGAUAAACCUACCCUCGUGAGGGUAGCUGAAGGUACUGUACGAAUAAGCACCGGCUAACUCCGUG